rnacentral:tRNA from 1 species
AAUAAAGUGACUGACAAUAAGUGGAAAACUGUAAAUUUUCUUAUGAGACGAAAUCUCCUUUAUUA